GCAGAGGCCUAAAAAUCUAUUCGACAACAAACACCGUCUUCCUCUUCUCCCAAACCCGAACUCCCACCGUCUGUUAGAGAUCACGAACGUAACGACUCGCCGCAACACGAAAGGUCGCAACAUAAAACGAUAGACAUCUACACUAUAAAUAAUGAGGACGCCAUGAUCAAUUUCCUCAAUGCAAAUAACCUGCAACCUUUCGUGACCUCUCAUCUCCUCUCCUGCUGUUAGAUUUAAAGUCCGGUUGUUCUCCGCUGGCGGUGGUCAUGCUCCUGAUUAAUGAAAAGUCUGUCCCCCUUAUCUUACAUUUCCUUCUUUUAAUCAGUGGCUUUGAUGUUACGAGAAGCAACCACCGUUUCAAACUUUCAGAUUCAUCCAUAGGUUUAAGUUAUUUGCGUUCAGAUAGAUUCGUUCAUUGCUAUAUGAGAACAGAGUACAUGCUUUUGGAUUAGCAGAAGAAUCUAAGAAUUGCUGAUUUUGGAGUGGCUAGAGUUACUUAGAAUCCAAAGGACAUGGUUGGAGAAACUGGUACUCUUGGAUACAUGGCCCCGUAGGUUCUUCAUGAUAAAGCCAUACAACAGAAGAUGCAAUGUUUAUAGCUUUGGGAUAUGUUGUGGGAGAUUUAUUGUUGUGCUACUCCAUCCUGAUCUCGCCUUUGCUGAUGUUAUUUCUGCUUUUGUUCAGGGUUAAUAGAGAAAAUGAAACAGCCUAUCGAUUUGCAAUUCGGUUUUAGUUUCCUGCUCUGAUUGAUGCAGUGUUGGUCAUGUGUUUGGUUUGGUAUUAGUCUAUUUGAGUUGAAUUCAAGUUGGCUUGGUUAGAAAUAACGUUAAGAUUACUCUUUCUACGAAUAUAAAAUGGUUUAGUUGAUAUAAUAUUUUAUGUAAUAUGACUAUUAGAUUCGGAUGUGUUUUUUUCCCCUAAGAUUGUGUUGAUGGUUUAGAUUUUGGCAAAAUUAAUAACAAAUUAUCUUCAAUUGAUUUUGAUGUUUUAGAAUUUAAAAUCGGGAAUUCAAUUGAUUUGCAAAAAAAUUGGGUUUGGUUAUUCCUAGCUUUAUUUAUUUGUUGAUCUAUUCAUUUGUGUCGAUUGGAGAAUAAGCUUAUGAUUGGAUUUCAUUACCCCUUUUUUUCUAUUCUUUCUUCUUGAUAAUAAAAUGGAGGAAGAACAAAGAGAAUAAUAUAAUUAAAAGAGUUUAAGAGUACAUAACACCAAUAUCAUAUACAUGCGCCUGCAAGCCUACAAGGUUCUCAUACCAAAACGUAUGGUAAGCGAGUGAGGGCACAUACAUUGGUAUGAGAACCAUGUAGGCUUGUAGCUGUUCUGUUCAUGUGGAAGAAAGUCACUGAAGUAAGAUUGUAGCCGGAACAAACAUUCGAGUCUUACUUGAACACCAUUUGGAUUUAAAUAUUAUAAAGCCUUUUUUUUCUAUUGGUUGAGGUCUACUAGAUUAAUAAUGUUAAAUCAAUCAAUUAUAUGACAACACAUGAGUUACAAAUAUUGUUUUUAUUAUUAUAGAUGCCAGUUAGUCAAUGAGAUUAAAAUAUUUGUAUUUUUGUUUAAUUGGUUUAAACAUAACCUGAGACCGGUAAUACUGAGAUGUUGUCCAACAUCAUUAUCG